CCUCUGAACCUUCGGGAGUAGAGGAAGGAGAAGUCGUAACAAGGUUUUCGUAGGUGAGCCUGCGAAAGGAUCAUUAU
rnacentral:rRNA from 1 species